AUAUAGCACAAACUGCUAUGGUUCAACAUAACAAUGCCUCUGAAUGUUCUUGAAGCUGUUCUCCAGGAGGUGAUACCGGCACAGGGAGACUCAGCUUACCUCACCUUGGCAUUGACCUGCAAGUGCUUUGAAGCCCUUGUGUCUGAGCCAGUUUUCAGGAAGAAGACUCACUUUGACUUUUUUCACCUAAAACAUGUGAAAUUAGAUUUCAACUACAUGAAAUCGAUUUUUCAUUAACAGGUGAGAUCAACUGGGGCAAAUUUUCAAAAACAUUCAAGGCAGAAAACCGGAUUCCUUUUGCGGUUGUAACGUGUUUUUCCUGCCACCGGUAAUAUAAAGACUGUGGGCUUCACCAGCGAUGGAAGACGAGGAGAGUACCCUGGUUACUACUGUGAUGGCCGACCUGGACACAGCACUGACUGUCAAUACUGAAUGAGAAUAUUAGUUGCUUUCCACAGUCUUUCACACAUUUCAGUUGUCACACAUUGUUCGUUUUUUUUGUGACAAGCCAUUUUAAAUCAUUUCUGCUAAAGAAUAUUUGCCUUUUGACUUGUGCAGUCAUCCUUUUUAAUAAUGUGUUCUUUCAAUAUUAUUUACAUUUUUGAAUGUUCCUUUUGUUGUAGCUCAGUUGAUUUACAUUAUUUAGUUUUCAUAGAAAUGGUGCCGUUUCCACACAAAGUUACAUUGUGGCUGUAAUUUGUUGGAGAGAGUAGAACCAAUAAAGUAGUUGUAAAUAUAUUGUAACAGCGUUGUUUAACAAUAGGAUAACCUUGUUUUAAAAAUUUUAAAUGCUAAUAACUUGCAAUAUUUUAUAUGUGUAAAUACAAUGUUUCCUAUACUUUUUGAACAAUGACUGGAAUCAAUACAAAUUUUUUUUACAAACCUGACAUACAGCUAAGUUGUUUAUGUUUUAACAGUCAGAAUCAACUUGGGGUUUUUUUGUAAUAAAGCAAGCACAUACAGAAACAUAUUGUUCAGAUACAAACAAGAUUAAACGAGCAGAGCGAAGGUGUAGUCGGGGUGGAGGUGAUGGAAGCUCAGAUGAGGAGCAGUUGCACACAUCAAGCCGGACUUUAUGAAGGGUGGAGGAGAUGAGCCCGGCGCCGUUAGACUGGGAUGGAGACACAUGAUCAGGUGAUUGGCUGAGCAGGUGAGAUGAAGACAGUUAUAGUUAGAAUUUACACAUUGGUUUAAUUUAUGUAACCAGUGACUUUAUUCAAAAAGGUUUUCAUAUAG